UACAGAGGUCCCAAGCGUUGUUCGGAUUCACUGGGCGUAAAGGGUGCGUAGGCGGUCAUUUAAGUCUGACGUGAAAUCUCCGGGCCUAACCCGGAAACUGCGUUGGAAACUAUCUGACUAGAGGAAUGGAGGGGAGAUUGGAAUACUUGGUGUAGCAGUGAAAUGCGUAGAUAUCAAGUGGAACACCAGUGGCGAAGGCGAAUCUCUGGACAUUUCCUGACGCUGAGGCACGAAAGCCAGGGGAGCAAACAGG
rnacentral:rRNA from 1 species